AGUGAACGCUGGCGGUAGGCCUAACACAUGCAAGUCGAACGGCAGCACAGUAAGAGCUUGCUCUUACGGGUGGCGAGUGGCGGACGGGUGAGGAAUACAUCGGAAUCUACUUUUUCGUGGGGGAUAACGUAGGGAAACUUACGCUAAUACCGCAUACGACCUACGGGUGAAAGCAGGGGAUCUUCGGACCUUGCGCGAUUGAAUGAGCCGAUGUCGGAUUAGCUAGUUGGCGGGGUAAGGCCCACCAAGGCGACGAUCCGUAGCUGGUCUGAGAGGAUGAUCAGCCACACUGGAACUGAGACACGGUCCAGACUCCUACGGGAGGCAGCAGUGGGGAAUAUUGGACAAUGGGCGCAAGCCUGAUCCAGCCAUACCGCGUGGGUGAAGAAGGCCUUCGGGUUGUAAAGCCCUUUUGUUGGGAAAGAAAAGCAGCAGGUUAAUACCCCGCUGUCCUGACGGUACCCAAAGAAUAAGCACCGGCUAACUUCGUG
rnacentral:rRNA from 1 species